rnacentral:rRNA from 1 species
UACAUGGGGUGCAAACGUUGCUCGGAAUUAUUGGGCGUAAAGCGCACGUAGGCGGUUCGUUAAGUCGGAUGUGAAAGCCCUCGGCUCAACUGAGGAAGUGCACCCGAAACUGGCGAGCUUGAGUACGAAAGAGGAUCGCGGAAUUCCCGGUGUAGAGGUGAAAUUCGUAGAUAUCGGGGAGGAACACCGGUGGCGAAGGCGGCGAUCUGGGUCGAUACUGACGCUGAGGUGCGAAAGCGUGGGGGAGCAAACAGG